GGCCACCUCUGGGCCCCCCGUGGCUGGCUCUGGUGUCACCCGGCUGGCGGGCGCGCGAGGGAGCACUCUCCCUAGCUGAGUGCUUCCUCUUCAGCUCCCUCGCGCACCGCACUGAUACCGGAGCCGGAAGAUGACGUCAUCUUCCGGCUCCGGCAUCAGUACGCGCGCGCACGCGUGAGGGAGCUGAAGAGGGAGCUGAAGAGGGAGCACUCAGGGGAGAGUGUGUGUGUGAGUUAGAGUGUGUGUUAGUGUUAGUGUGUG